UAGAUGGAUUUAGACCUCUAGCCA
rnacentral:piRNA from 1 species